rnacentral:rRNA from 1 species
UGUCAUGCUCUACUCUCUUGAGUGGCACAACUAACGCAUUAACUUAUCCGCCUGGGGACUACGGUCGCAAUAUUAAAACUCAAAGGAAUUGACGGAACCUCAAAGUAAUCCACAUAUAUUGGUACGUAAUGUGCGCCGUACUUGGUCUUACAUACUCGCAUGUGAAAUCUCCCGGCUCAACUGGGAGGGGUCAUCUGAUACUGUUGGACUUGAGUGCAUCAGGGAAAAAUGGAAUUCCCUGUGUAAUGGUGAAAUGCGUAUAUAUCUGUAGGAACACCAUACGCAAAUGUGAUUUUCCACGCCGAAACUGACACUGAGGCCCGAAAGCGUGGGGAGCGAACAGGAUUAAAUACCCUGGUAGUCCACGCCCUAAACUAUGGGUACUAUGUAUAGGGAGUAUCAACCCUUCCUGUGCCGAAGCUAACGCUUCCCUUACCCCGCCUGGGGAGUACGGUCGCUACACUAAAACUCAAA